rnacentral:tRNA from 1 species
GAACCGUGACGCAGCUGGCGUGGCGGACAGGCCUUCACCCUGUUGAGGAGGGAUCGAAACCCGCACGGUUCACCA